GAUGAACGCUGGCGGCGUGCUUAAUACAUGCAAGUCGAGCGAAAAGAUGAGGAGUUUGCUGCUUACUCGUUAGCGGAGGACGGGUGAGAAACACGUGGAUAACCCACUUAUCUUACUGAUAUACCUUGGGAAAACCGGAUAUAAUACCGGAUAAUAUAUGGAACCGUAUGGUUCAGUAGUGAAAUACGGUUGUGCGGUCACUUCUAGAUGGAUCCGCGCCGUAUUGGCUAGUUGGUAAGGUAACGGUUUACCAAGGCGACGAUGCGUAGCCGACCGGCGAGGGGGAUCGGCCACGCGUGAGCGGAGAGCCGCUCCAGGCUCCUGCGGGAGGCCGCAGUCCGGCAUCUUCCGCAAGUGGGGAAUGUCGUACGGAGCGACGCCGCGUGAGUCAGCAAGGUCUUCGGAGCGUAAACCGCUGUUAUUAGGUAAGAACAAAUGUGUAAGUACCUAUGGUCGUCGUGACGGUACCUGGUCAGAAAGCACCGGCUAACUACGUG
rnacentral:rRNA from 1 species